AAUAAGUGAAGUUUUGCACUAUUCAUCUUCAACGUUUGACCGUUUGUCUUAUUUGAAAAAAAUGUAUAAUUACUAUUUUUAUUGUUAUUAGAUGAUAAAACAUGAAUAGUAAUUUAUGUGUGACUAAUUUUUUUUAUAAAUUUUUCAAAUAAGACGGACGGUCAAACGUUGGACACGGAUUUUCACGGUUGCACUUAUU
rnacentral:pre_miRNA from 1 species